GGUGUAGAGUCCAAUACGCAGUACAGAGUGCGUUUCACUUUGCAUUUACUCGCAGUUACGACUUUUCUGUUAACGUUUCGCCAUUUUGUUUUGGAAGAGGCGUUGUCUGUGUUUGCGCUUUUCUUGAUUAUUCUCGACAGUAUCAAUUUCGUCUUCGUUCUGCUGUUUUCCAUUUCUUUGUGGGAUAACUAAUUACAGAAAGAUGGGUUUCAACAUCCUCGCAGCUCUCGUUGUUUUCCUUGGCAUGUGUGGAGCAGCCAAUGCUAACCUAGCAACACAAAUCUACACAUGGACGGAGGUGUCCGCUGGGGUCGCCGGCGUGGUCGCCAUCCUAGUCGCUCUCCUCGGCAUCUCAAGAUGCGUGCACGAGUUCACCUGCCGAAAAUACCAGAACGAACCAGAGGCCCUUCGAUCCAUUGACAUCGGAACCGGAGAGAACACCAAACUGUAGAGAGAAUGGAGUGUUGAGGACUGGGGGCCCAUUUCACAAAACUUGCCCUCAGUGACAAAUGACAGUUUUUGUUAUAAGCUACUGAAACCCUUGCUUCUGAUUGGUUCUCAGCAGAUUUGUAACUGAUUUUUGUCAUCUGUCAUUGCAAAAAGGCUUUGUGAGAUUGGUCCUAGGGCGUGGCCAUGAAGGGGCGAGAGGUAGGGGUGGAACACGUAAGAGGGUAGGGAGGGUUACAACACAAAAUCAUUUCACGAUGGCUCUUUGGAGGGGUGCAUCACAAUGGCCAGGGCGUGGUCAUCAAAGGGUAGGAGGGAGGGGUGGAACACGUAAGAGGGUAUAGGUUUACAACACAAAAUCAUUUCAUGAUGACUCUUUGGAGGGGUACACCGCAAUGACUUUGGGUGUUCUGGAUAGGGUGUGGCCAAAUUACUGCGGAGGAGGAGGGAAUUACGUGACAACGGCAUUACCAGAUACAAAAAUAUAUAUUUUUAAACAACUCUUAAUACAAAAACCCAUGAUGGGCCGUCUAAAAGAACCAAAAUGGCCGUGAAUUAAAAAAAGUUAUACAAAAACCGACAAAAUUUCCAUUUGACUUGCAAAUCAGUAUAUGUUGAGCAAAUGAAUGGUGUAUGUUACUUGUUUAAGGUACACACUAAUGUAGUAAUUUUACGUGGUUUGUGUGUGGGAAGAUACUAUACCGGCCUUUUUAAAGACCUUAUACUGUAUAUAUUCUACGUUUGUUAUGUCACUGUGUUAUCUAUCCAGUACUAUUAGAAUGAAGAAGAAAAAUAAGGUUUCAUAGAUUUUAAUGAGAUAUUUCUGUUGUAUUUGCACCUGUAGAAACUUUCCAAUCACACUUAAGUCUUUGCAUUAAAUAGAUUAGAACUUGAGGUAUAUAUUAUACUGUAAAGAAAUGCAUUUAUCGAGAUAUUCUGAGUCAGUUGUGCCUGUAUCACAGUGGUUUUAAAUAUGUUGCUCAAAAUCGAACACCAUAAAGAUUCAGAAUUUCAGUGGAAAUUGUUCAUGUCGUGAUCUUAAAUACAACUACAGUAUGUGCUCUCAUUUUGAUAUUACAAUCUUUCUUAACGCUCCUGCUGCAUUUUUAUGAUCACGUCAUAAUGCCUAUCUUGAAUAGGCAUAUAUGCCAUCUUUGCUAUUCCAUCAACAUGCAUAAUGAUAUAGCAUUCAAAGUCCUUUGAUCUUAAAUUUAUUUUCAAAUACCAAAACAAAAUCAAAGUUCGAUCUUAAAACGGGUGCAAAGUCAACUAUUCCCCAUGUACCAACAGGCUUGAGGCUGUUCAUUUCGUCUUUCAAAGUAGUUGCUUUUUUAUGAAGUGUAAACAUUCGAAAUUUUAUCAUCAUCUUUUCAUGUAGUUGUCAUUGUAGAUCCGUGUAUUGUUUUUAUUUUGUGCAUAUGUAAUUUGUUUUUUUAUUUGAUCUUUAUUUUUAUUUUUCAUAUAUUUUUCUCAAUAUGAAGGGGAUGUACAAAUAAACUUUCACUAUAUGGCUGACAAAACGAUUAAAUAAAAUUAACUAAUUGAGUUGGUAUACAUUUCAAUAUUUCACUACAUUUUAAUCAUGGUAAUAUGUUUGUAUCUCUUUCUCUCUUUUGUUUAGAGAGAAUGUUACUUUUUCAUAUUGAUGAUAGUUAGUAAGUGGGAUUUUAAAGUACGAAUGUGCUUAUGUUUCUAUCUUUUUCCCCUUUUAAUCAUAGAGGAAAUUCUAUUUUAAAGAGAUGUCCAAAUCUUUUUUUCUUAGGGGGGGGGGCAACCUCAAUCAGCAGAGUAUCGAAGGGGCCGGGAAUUUAGUUUUCAUUGUUAACUUUAUUGCCAUUUUAGUGUCUUUCAUUUGUUUUUAUUUUUUAAAGUAAUGAAAAUUUAAUUGUUAAAUAAAUUUGUAAUCAUUUCGAGUAA
rnacentral:lncRNA from 15 species